rnacentral:misc_RNA from 1 species
CAUAUGAUACAGUGAAUGAACCAAGUAUCUUUAUAAAAUUGAUGGAGAAAGUCAAUAUUGACGAAUUUUAUAUACCAUCAAUUCAAGAAGCUAUCCAGAGGGCUUUUAAGCGACAGAAUCUACAAAAUAUCAAAAGUAACUACUUACAAAAUGAUCACUAUGUUGAAGCAAAAACAGCGGUUCAACAUACUAUGCAAAUAUAUAAAAGCAAACCUGAGACAGCGGAAUUAAAUAUUUUGACGCAUCUAAAACCAUG